rnacentral:rRNA from 1 species
UAAUACAGAGGGGGCAAGCGUUGUUCGGAAUUACUGGGCGUAAAGGGCGCGUAGGCGGCCGCCUAAGUCAGACGUGAAAUCCCUCGGCUCAACCGGGGAACUGCGUCUGAUACUGGGUGGCUUGAAUCCGGGAGAGGGAUGCGGAAUUCCAGGUGUAGCGGUGAAAUGCGUAGAUAUCUGGAGGAACACCGGUGGCGAAGGCGGCAUCCUGGACCGGUAUUGACGCUGAGGCGCGAAAGCCAGGGGAGCAAACGGGAUUAGAUACCCUGGUAGUCCACGCCGU